CUGGUGGAUACUCGAUGUUGCAAAAAUGGUUCGUCAAAUUUGGAUUUUGAGGCCAAAGACGGAAAAUCUUGUAAACGGUGCCCUCCGAAGUUGGCUUAAGGAUGACGUUCAGGUGAUGUCGUUUAGAACGAAGAAUUAGAGACCUCGAGUGCAACAUCUUCGACCUAUUCUCCUAAUUGAAAGUGGCAAGGCAUCCUCGCCACUUAGUUCAGCAUGGGCAAUGAAUUGGAGCGCCAAGUGGGCCAUUUUUGGUUAGCAGAACUGGCGAUGCGGCAUAAGCCGAUAAGGAGUUUA
rnacentral:rRNA from 1 species